rnacentral:tRNA from 1 species
GUGGUUGUAGCUUAGUGGUAGAGUGCUUUCCUAGCACGUGUGAGGCAAUGGGUUCAAUCCUCAGCACCACA